rnacentral:rRNA from 1 species
AUGGAGGGCUCGCCAGCCGCCUCCGGAGUCCCACAUCCCCAAGAUCGACUGGAUUGCAGCCGCCUAGUCGAGGUCGUCAGCCUUGACGGGCUCCUCCAUCACGUCUGGUCCCAUGGCUCCUCCGGUACUACCUCGCCUGUGCUUGCUCCCGUCCACGCCGACGUCUUGCUCGGGCCGCGGCAUGACCUGCUCGCCACGCCCGCCCAAACCCCAAGCCACACUUUCUCUUCCACCUCUGCGUACUCCUGGUUGCAGCGCCAGCUCGCCACGGGCAAGGAUCGGCAGCUCGCCGGCGUGGCGCGUGGCAGGGGAGAGAAGGGGGGCAAGAUCGGCGGGGCAGAGUUCUUCCGGAAGGACGGCGUGGUGGGCGACAUGGACGGGUACCUCAACUACCUGUCCCUCGAGUAUGACUUCGUCUCGGACACCAAUUCUUCUUGGGUAUCUUCAAGGUCCAUGCUCCAAAUAUAA